rnacentral:rRNA from 1 species
GACGAACGCUGGCGGCGUGCUUAACACAUGCAAGUCGAACGGAAAGGCCCUGCUUUUGUGGGGUGCUCGAGUGGCGAACGGGUGAGUAACACGUGAGUAACCUGCCCUUGACUUUGGGAUAACUUCAGGAAACUGGGGCUAAUACCGGAUAGGAGCUCCUGCUGCAUGGUGGGGGUUGGAAAGUUUCGGCGGUUGGGGAUGGACUCGCGGCUUAUCAGCUUGUUGGUGGGGUAGUGGCCUACCAAGGCUUUGACGGGUAGCCGGCCUGAGAGGGUGACCGGCCACAUUGGGACUGGGAUACGGCCCAGACUCCUAUGGGAGGCAGCAGUGGGGAAUAUUGCACAAUGGGCGGAAGCCUGAUGCAGCAACGCCGCGUGCGGGAUGACGGCCUUCGGGUUGUAAACCGCUUUCGCCUGUGACGAAGCGUGAGUGACGGUAAUGGGUAAAGAAGCACCGGCUAACUACGUG